GGAUGCUGACGAGCGGCGGACGGGUGAGUAAUGCAUAGGAAUCUGCCCGAUAGUGGGGGAUAACCUGGGGAAACCCAGGCUAAUACCGCAUACGUCCUACGGGAGAAAGGGGGCUCCGGCUCCCGCUAUGGGAUGAGCCUAUGUCGGAUUAGCUAGUUGGUGAGGUAACGGCUCACCAAGGCCACGAUCCGUAGCUGGUCUGAGAGGAUGAUCAGCCACAUCGGGACUGAGACACGGCCCGAACUCCUACGGGAGGCAGCAGUGGGGAAUAUUGGACAAUGGGGGCAACCCUGAUCCAGCCAUGCCGCGUGUGUGAAGAAGGCCCUCGGGUUGUAAAGCACUUUCAGCGAGGAAGAACGCCUAGCGGUUAAUACCCGCUAGGAAAGACAUCACUCGCAGAAGAAGCACCGGCUAACUCCGUGCCAGCAGCCGCGGUAAUACGGAGGGUGCAAGCGUUAAUCGGAAUUACUGGGCGUAAAGCGCGCGUAGGUGGCUUGAUAAGCCGGUUGUGAAAGCCCCGGGCUCAACCUGGGAACGGCAUCCGGAACUGUCAAGCUAGAGUGCAGGAGAGGAAGGUAGAAUUCCCGGUGUAGCGGUGAAA
rnacentral:rRNA from 1 species